rnacentral:tRNA from 1 species
GGAGAGAUGGCUGAGUGGUUGAAAGCGCCAGAUUGCUAAUCUGUUGUAUAAUAUUUAUUAUACCGAGGGUUCGAAUCCCUUUCUCUCCU